UGCGUCUUCAAUCACACUCACAGCCCCCUUUUUUCAUGACAGUCACAUAUUUCUUUAGAUUCUCACCUUCGUGGUGUAAUAUCAUUACCUGUGGAUCGGGUUGCUGAUGUUGCUUUGGCCAAUAUAAAGUUAUCAAAAUGUUGGCACGUAGAGCCAGAUUAAGGUGCGACAUCAGAUGGACUUCGGUUUAUGGGAGAUGGGUUUUCUACCAUCACAAGGUGUGCUCUGUCCAAUAGUCUCGAUCAUGGGCUAAAGGUCUGCGACCAGUUCGAAUGGGACUAGACACAUGUUCAAUGCUUGUAUAUUUCAACAUAUUCAAUGCUUGCAUAUUGUGAGAAAUGCACUGCUACACCUUCAAAUGAGUAUUCUUUUUGCUUGCUAUUGCUGGUUAUAUGGCAA
rnacentral:lncRNA from 1 species